ensembl:lncRNA dihydropyridine-sensitive L-type skeletal muscle calcium channel subunit alpha-1-like
UAUAAAAACAACAAAAGAAAAGAUAACAAUUAAAAUAUGAAGAUAACAAUCCUAAAAUGAAUAAAUUAUUAGUUAAAAGCUAAUUUGAAAAAAUAGUUCUUGAGCUUGUUCUUAAAAACAUAAGCGUUCUCUGCAGCACUGAGGUUCUCCACAGAUUGUUCCACAGACGUGUCCUGACUGUAUAUUAUUAGUCAAAUGUGUCUUUAAUUCUGAUCAGAAAGUUAUUAGUAGAAAAGAGACAUGAAAUCACCCUAAAAAACACAUUAAGGUCACAUGACCAAUAGAACUUCCUGUUUCUUCAUCAUCACUGAUGUGUUUUCUACAGAUGACCACGUACGGAGCCAUUCUCCACAAAGGUUCUUUCUGCAGGAAUUCUUUCAAUAUUUUAGAUCUUCUGGUCGUCAGCGUUUCUCUGCUUUCUAUGGGAAUGGAAUCCAGUGCAAUCUCAGUGGUAAAGAUCCUGAGGGUGUUGAGGGUUCUACGCCCACUGAGGGCCAUCAACCGAGCCAAAGGGUUAAAGCAUGUGGUCCAGUGUGUGUUUGUUGCUGUAAAGACUAUUGGGAACAUCGUCCUGGUCACCAUGCUGCUGGACUUCAUGUUCGCCUGCAUCGGCGUUCAACUCUUUAAAGGGAAGUUUUAUGGCUGCACAGAUUCAGACAGAAUGACAGAGGAAACCUGCAGAGGUUGGUACAUUAAGUAUCAGGAAGGAUCUCUUCAUGAGAUGGUGAUUCAUAGACGACAAUGGAUCAACUCACAACUCAACUUUGACAACGUCUUCAACGGCAUGUUGGCCCUGUUUACCAUUUCAACUUUUGAAGGAUGGCCACAACUUCUGUACAAAGCUAUUGAUUCCAACGUAGAGGACAAAGGUCCAGUGUACAACAACCGAGUGGCCAUCUCCAUCUUCUUCAUCAUCUACCUCAUCCUCAUUGCCUUCUUCAUGAUGAACAUAUUUGUAGGAUUUGUCAUCGUCACCUUCCAGGAACAAGGAGAGCAGGAAUUUCAGAACUGCGAACUUGACAAAAAUCAGAGGCAGUGUGUGCAGUACGCGCUGAAAGCUCGACCUUUACGAUGUUACAUUCCUAAGAACCCUUACCAGUACCGGGUGUGGUACGUAGUUACUUCCUGUUACUUUGAGUACCUGAUGUUCCUCCUCAUCAUGCUCAACACCAUGUGUCUAGGAAUGCAGCACUGUAACCAGUCGGACCAUGUGACCCACCUGUCUGAUAAGUUGAAUGUGAUCUUCACUGUGCUCUUCACGGUGGAGAUGAUCCUCAAACUAAUGGCCUUUAAGGCUAAAGGGUAUUUUGGAGACCCCUGGAAUGUCUUUGAUUUUGUUAUCGUUAUUGGAAGCGUUGUGGACGUAAUGCUGAGUGAGAUUGAUGCAGCUCUGGCCUCUUCAGGAGGACUUUAUUGUCUUCAUGGAUGUGCUGAAGUUGAUCCCAUGCAAGCCAUCGCUUCGUCAGAGAACAUGAGCGUUUCCAUCACCUUCUUCAGACUCUUUCGUGUCAUGCGUCUGGUCAAACUUCUUAAUCGUUCUGAAGGAAUACGGAACCUUCUGUGGACUUUUAUUAAAUCCCUUCAGGCUCUGCCAUACGUAGCUCUGCUCAUUCUAAUGCUGUUCUUUAUAUACGCUGUGGUUGGAAUGCAGAUAUUUGGUAAAAUUGCUCUCCUUGAUGGAACGUUUAUCAACAGAAACAAUAAUUUCCAGACGUUCCCUCAGGCUGUUCUUCUGUUAUUCAGAUGUGCUACAGGGGAGGCGUGGCACGAGGUCAUGUUGGGAUCUAUGUAUGGGAAGAAAUGUGACCCAAAGUCGGACUAUUUACCUGGGGAGGAGUUUACCUGUGGGUCCAACUUCGCCAUCAUCUACUUCAUGAGUUUUUAUAUGCUCUGUGCUUUUCUGAUAAUAAAUCUCUUUGUGGCAGUCAUUAUGGAUAACUUUGACUACCUGACACGUGAUUGGUCCAUUCUUGGGCCUCAGCACUUAGACGAGUUCAAGAAAAUCUGGGCAGAAUAUGAUCCUGAGGCUACUGGGCGUAUUAAGCACCUUGAUGUGGUGACACUUCUGCGCAGGAUCCCUCCGCCUUUAGGCUUUGGGGAGUUUUGUCCUCAUCGUAUUGCUUGUAAGCGGUUGGUGUCCAUGAACAUGCCUCUGAACAGUGAUGGAACCGUGACCUUCAACGCUACGCUGUUCGCUUUGGUUAGAACUGCUUUGAAAAUAAAGACAGAAGGUAAUUUUGAACAAGCCAAUGAGGAGCUGAGAGGAAUCAUCAAGAAAAUCUGGAAGCGCACGAGCAUGAAGCUACUGGACCAAGUGAUUCCACCAAUAGGAGAUGAUGAAGUGACUGUGGGGAAAUUUUAUGCUACUUUUCUAAUCCAGGAUUACUUCAGAAAGUUGAAGAAAAGGCAGGAGGAAUAUUACGGCUGUCGUCCAACCGAGAAAAAUGCAACUAAUGAAAUACAAGCAGGAUUAAGAAACAUUGAUGAGGAUUUAGCUCUGGAGCUACAUCGAUCAAUAUCUGGAGACCUGAUCAAUACAGAUGAUCUGGACCAGACAAAUAUUCAUCAUAAGGCUUUUGGAGAAGAAAACGACUCGAUGGAUCCUAAUCAUGACUUGAUAAAUCCUAAUCAUGACUCGAUAAAUCCUAAUCAUGCUGCUGCUGCUCGUCCUUUACAAAUGUCUGUAGUUUUUGAUGAUGAAACAAUGAACCUCAGUGUCAAUAAAUGAAAUAUUGGAAGAAACACUGAAUAUUGGGGAAACUACUGAGAAGUGUCGUUUUUGAGGAAACAAUGAUCAGUUUUAAAGAAGAUGAACCCACUCAACUUUUUUAUUUCUUCUCUCCUUGCAUGCAACAUUAUUUAAUUUAAAGACACAUUCAACAAAAACAUGAUGUGAAUGUAAAAAAAUAUCUCAAAUGUAAAUUGUUUGAAAUAUAUUCUGUUUUUUUUUUUCUUUUCUUUCUGAAGCAACUUAUUUAUAUUUUAUGUGUGAC